GGCGGAACUGCUGCACCGGGCGAUCCCGGUCCUGGCGCGGCCGGUGGCGCCCCUGCACGCCGCCGGCGCGGUCCCGGGCCGCUUCCUGCCC
rnacentral:tRNA from 1 species